GGAAGUAGCUGCGCCGAUGGCACGCCAUGUUCAUCAAGGGAAUAAUGCUAAAGAAGGCAUUCAUAUAAAGCUGAAGGGUUUUGCAAUUGGCAAUGGACAAAGCAAUACACUGGUUAUGCACUGGGUACGGGAAUUAUUAAGGAAUCUGACUACAAAAGCAUCAGCACUAUGUUCUAUCCAGCAUAUGAACUUGCCAUCAAACUUUGUGGAACGUCAAAGACUGUGUCUUGCUUGGCGUCAUGUCAUUUGCGACACCAUUGUCAGUUCAAUCACGAAAUAGCUAGAAAUUAUUAUGAUAUUAGGAAGCAAUGUGAAGGCAGCCUGUGCUAUGACUUCUCCUCGAGUCCCUUUAAGCGACAUCUAGCAGUUCGUCCGAAAGCUUGGAUUGAGCCGCGGUGGCCGCUGGACGGAGCCCCAGCCUCCACCCCGUACAGUCUCCUCAACCUGUCGAUGACGGGGCGGAACCCGGCGCGGAGCGGCAC